GACGAACGCUGGCGGCGUGCCUAAUACAUGCAAGUUGAGCGCUGAAGGUUGGUACUUGUACCAACUGGAUGAGCAGCGAACGGGUGAGUAACGCGUGGGGAAUCUGCCUUUGAGCGGGGGACAACAUUUGGAAACGAAUGCUAAUACCGCAUAAAAACUUUAAACACAAGUUUUAAGUUUGAAAGAUGCAAUUGCAUCACUCAAAGAUGAUCCCGCGUUGUAUUAGCUAGUUGGUGAGGUAAAGGCUCACCAAGGCGAUGAUACAUAGCCGACCUGAGAGGGUGAUCUGCCACAUUGGGACUGAGACACGGCCCAAACUCCUACGGGAGGCAGCAGUAGGGAAUCUUCGGCAAUGGACGAAAGUCUGACCGAGCAACGCCGCGUGAGUGAAGAAGGUUUUCGGAUCGUAAAACUCUGUUGGUAGAGAAGAACGUUGGUGAGAGUGGAAAGCUCAUCAAGUGACGGUAACUACCCAGAAAGGGACGGCUAACUACGUG
rnacentral:rRNA from 1 species